rnacentral:lncRNA from 1 species
CUUUCAAAAGGGAUCUGUGACAUGCCUGGAUUAUAGCAUAAACUCGGAUAAUUGACACUGGGGCCCAGGCAUCUGGGCUAGCUUAGCAGCAGAUGUUCACAGUCACUUUCUAAAGCCAUCUUCGUGCUCCUGUGUUCUGGUGUUGCGCUUCUGAGGGGAUGUUGCUAAAUUUCUGAAGACGUCUCCUGCAUGUUGUAAAGUUCAGCUGCUUUCUGCUUAGCCCCCAGGCUGUUCUUGUGGGGACAUAGCAGGGAAGGGAGGAUUUGAAGGAGAUGACUAGAGGAGUGUUAAUUCUUGUUGGUUUAAUAUCCCUCAGUACUACAGAGCAAGAAAGCACAAACAGGAGCAGAACCAAGCUUUUUCCCCAGUCUGCAAAUGUAAGCACUCAGACCAGUUUUUAAUACCCAUUUUUGAGGGAGCAUUAGUUGACCAGAAGGAACAAUGAAGAGAAGGAAUUACUUGAACAGCCCUGAAGGAUAUGAUGAUGAUUUCCAGUAUGAGUCCUACAAUGCCAAAUUCCUUGCAUUCCAGUAACUUCACAGAGAGAAGGGGAAAUAGUGAACAAAAGGACACACUGAAUUUUGUCAUCAUGGAGAUAAAAAAGUGA